AUGUAGUUACAUAUUGCAAAACCACAAACUCCCUAACCCUACUUCUCAUCUACCUAGACGGCAGCCCCCACCUUGCAACAUUCUCUUCGUGGAAUCCACCUGCCAUGUUCGCACCAUACUCCCACUCAACUGGGUAUGGUUGGCCAACUUGGAACGGGAAAUAUAACUAAACAUACCGAGCAAAUCAAAGGUCUGUAGGUUUGUAUCACAGGAACUUGAUGUCUGGGAUGCUGGAGUGGUCAUGGGUCGAAUUGCAUGGAAUCAUGAGGCGCGUCAAAUGGCUUUUGUACAUUUGGGUUAUGAAACUCUAAUUAACGUAUUAUGCUUCUGCU